CGUCUUGGGCUCACUAUAGCUAACACACCCUAUUUUCCAAAAAAAGCUUGAAAGGGCCGAGCCUGAGUAUUGUUCCUGUGUUCGUUGAAAAUUUCGCACUAUUUCGAUCACUUUAUCUGUGUGAGCUGAGAAUGUCCCUAUUUUUCUUCUGCUUCCACCGCUUCAAACCCUAACGCUUGCUUCUUCAACACUGUCGCAGGAUCAAUUUUGAGCUUCAAUGGAGGCUUCUCAAUGUCACUGAAUUUUGGGGCAAGGUUGCUAGUGUUGGCAGGAUUCAGGAGUAACUAUAGUUCAAACCUAGUAAUUCUCGCUCCCUUUGCUUCUUCGCAAAGUUAUUCUAAUUGUUUUGUGAUUUUUUUCUUCAGUUCAGCAUUUGGCUCUGUAGAUUAAUAUUAUUGUUUGAGUGAGUUUCCUUUUUUGAUGUCA